rnacentral:rRNA from 1 species
GUAGAAUUCCAGGUGUAGCGGUGAAAUGCGUAGAGAUCUGGAGGAAUACCGGUGGCGAAGGCGGCCCCCUGGACGAAGACUGACGCUCAGGUGCGAAAGCGUGGGGAGCAAACAGGAUUAGAUACCCUGGUAGUCCACGCCGUAAACGAUGUCGACUUGGAGGUUGUGCCCUUGAGGCGUGGCUUCCGGAGCUAACGCGUUAAGUCGACCGCCUGGGGAGUACGGCCGCAAGGUUAAAACUCAAAUGAAUUGACGGGGGCCCGCACAAGCGGUGGAGCAUGUGGUUUAAUUCGAUGCAACGCGAAGAACCUUACCUGGUCUUGACAUCCACGGAAGUUUUCAGAGAUGAGAAUGUGCCUUCGGGAACCGUGAGACAGGUGCUGCAUGGCUGUCGUCAGCUCGUGUUGUGAAAUGUUGGGUUAAGUCCCGCAACGAGCGCAACCCUUAUCCUUUGUUGCCAGCGGUCCG